GACGAACGCUGGCGGCGUGCUUAACACAUGCAAGUCGAACGGAAAGGCCCUGCUUGCAGGGUGCUCGAGUGGCGAACGGGUGAGUAACACGUGGGUGAUCUGCCCCUUACUUUGGGAUAAGCCUGGGAAACUGGGUCUAAUACUGGAUAGGACCAUGCUGUAGGUGGUGUGGUGGAAAGAUUUUUUCGGUACGGGAUGAGCUCGGGGCCUAUCAGCUUGUUGGUGGGGUAAUGGCCUACGAAGGCGUCGACGGGUAGCCGGCCUGAGAGGGUGGACGGCGACAUUGGGACUGCGAUACGGCGCAGACGCCUACGGGAGGCAGCAGUGGUGAGUAUAGCACUAUGGGAGCAAUCCUGAUGCAGCGACGACGCGUGGGGGAUGACGGCGUUCGGGUUGUAAGCUCCUUGCAGCCAUGACGAAGCCCCUUUUGGGGUGACGUUAGUGGUAGAAGAAGCACCGGCUAACUACGUG
rnacentral:rRNA from 1 species